CUACGGGGGGCUGCAGUGAGGAAUAUUGCACAAUGGGGGGAACCCUGAUGCAGCAACGCCGCGUGGAGGAUGACGCAUUUCGGUGUGUAAACUCCUUUUAUAUGUCAAGAAAAUGACGGUAGCAUAUGAAUAAGCACCGGCUAACUCCGUGCCAGCAGCCGCGGUAAUACGGAGGGUGCAAGCGUUACUCGGAAUCACUGGGCGUAAAGGACGCGUAGGCGGGUUGGAAAGUCAGGUGUGAAAUCCUACAGCUUAACUGUAGAACUGAACUUGAAACUUCUAAUCUAGAGUAUGGGAGGGGGAGAUGGAAUUAGUGGUGUAGGGGUAAAAUCCGUAGAUAUCACUAGGAAUACCUAAAGCGAAGGCGAUCUCCUGGAACAUUACUGACGCUAAGGCGUGAAAGCGUAGGGAGCAAACAGGAUUAGAAUACCCGUGUAGUC
rnacentral:rRNA from 1 species